rnacentral:tRNA from 1 species
UCGCUUGAGCCUCUGCCUUUCGGUUCUCUUGGAACAAGACGGAAGAGAGUCACUCUUACCGUCGUGCAUACCUUAAGCGGGUCUGCCGCCUUCGUUUCUCUUUCUUCGCGAAUGACUUUGACUUGCGCUCGCGCGCCGCAUCGCACCCUUUGGGUGCUGGCGCUCCGCGAGGGCGCGGCAGCAAGCCGCGAUGGUCUGGCCGCGACGGCCGGUUGGCCUUGCGAGACUUGCGUCUCGUUGGCGAAAGCCGAUUCACGGCGCAGUCUUAGGGCUUGUAGCUCAGUUGGUUAGAGCGCGCGCUUGAUAAGCGUGAGGUCGGAGGUUCAAGUCCUCCCAGGCCCACCACUUCGCAAUCCGCAAGGAUUGUCGGAUCUUCGCAAUCCGCAAGGAUUGUCGAUCUUCGCAAUCCGCAAGGAUUGUCGAUCUCCUCGACACUUCGAAGAGGUGUUUAUCAGGGGCCGUAGCUCAGCUGGGAGAGCGCCUGCUUUGCAAGCAGGAUGUCGUCGGUUCGAUCCCGUCCGGCUCCACCAUUACAGCGCAAUCCGCAGGAUUGUCGCUACCUCGUUCUGAAAAGAAAGAGGGGUGUCGAGUAGAGAUGGGGACGGCCGAGAAAAAGUCAUUCGUUUAAGAGUUUGCGGCGAGCUUCUUGGCUCUCCGCCUGUUCUGUUUGACAUCGUAAAGAGAAGAUUUGUUCGAACUUCAUAGCCCGCAAGGGGUGUGAUUUGUCGCGGGAGACGCUCAAUCUCCCGCAUAUGAUGGGCUUGCCUAACCGCACCCUCGAACCGAUCUCGAGAAGCUGGUCUUUUUGUGCCAAUUCCAUUGAAGCAGAUCCUGCACAGGAUCUGGUUCGAGCGACGAUCCCUUUGGGAUCGCGUGAUGGGUAUUGGCAAUGAGAACGAUCAAGUGUCUUAAGGGCAAUUGGUGGAUGCCUUGGCAUGCACAGGCGAUGAAGGACGUGAUACGCUGCGAUAAG